rnacentral:lncRNA from 1 species
UUGUUGAAUAAUCUCUCAACCAUGUGAAAAGGUGCAGCCACAAUUUUUUGUUCAAAAUUGGUAGGUGGUCACCAACCACAAUCUUGUUCAAAUUGGUAGGUCACCAACCACAUCAUUUGUUCAAAUUGGUAGGUCACCAACCCUACCAACCAUGUUUUUCACCAAACACAUUCUUUGCCUAUAUAAAGGCCAUUUGGGAGCAAGCUAAAAUAACACCAACACAAUUCCUUUUGUGUUAUAUCCGAGAGAGAAUUUUGAGAGUUACUCACAAUUUGGUGAGUGGUAGUUAGUGUUCAAAAAUUAGAGUGUAUAUUAUACAAGAGUGUUUGUGAGGUUUCUUUGGGUACAAUAUUUGUCCCAAAGGGUGUUCUUGUACCGUCUCUAUUUUUGGUGCUUCUCAAGUUGGUCACUUGAGAUUUUGGUGUACCAUUAUUUUUUUUAUAGUGGAUAUUUCUCGGAGUUUGGCCCGUGGUUUUUCCCUCUAAAUUUGGGAGGGUUUUCCACGUAAAUUUUGGUGUUCCGAUUCAAUUUGGUGAGUGGUAGUUAGUGUCCAAAAAUUAGAGUGUAUAUUAUACAAG